rnacentral:rRNA from 1 species
GAACGCUGGCGGCGUGCCUAACACAUGCAAGUCGAACGAAGCAUAGCAAUAUGCUUAGUGGCGGACGGGUGAGUAACGCGUGAACAAUCUGCCCUGUACAAAGGAAUAGCCUCGGGAAACCGGGAUUAAAACCGUAUGACACUUUAGUAUCGCAUGAUAAGAAAGUCAAAUCGAAUAGAGGUAUGGGAUGAGUUCGCGUCUGAUUAGCUGGUUGGCGGGGUAACGGCCCACCAAGGCGACGAUCAGUAGCCGGCCUGAGAGGGUGAACGGCCACACUGGAACUGAGACACGGUCCAGACUCCUACGGGAGGCAGCAGUGGGGAAUAUUGCACAAUGGAGGGAACUCUGAUGCAGCGACGCCGCGUGAGUGAAGAAGGUCUUCGGAUCGUAAAACUCUGUCCUUGGUGAAGAAAAGGACGGUAGCCAAGGAGGAAGCCCCGGCUAACUACGUG